GGGAACAUUUUGAAAUGUGUGAUAUUUAAUUGGAUGGGGAUAUCGUCUUACGUUAUAACUCCAUCGCUGCUGAGCCUAUUUUGAAACCUUUGGCUGGUUACAUUCCAACAUCAAUAUCUGUUGUAAAGAUCAACAGAACCUCGGUGCAAUGUUUUCAUAGAUCAGUGUCCA